CCAAGCAGAGAGAAUUCGGAUGGGCAAAGACCGUGAAGUAGGCUCAUGCCUGGUGAAUUUCAGGAAUGGUCAGUAGAUAGGGCAGCUGAGCCGAGGGAGUGGCUGAUCUCGUCUCGGCUCUGCUGGGGUUGACUCAAAUUCAGGUCUACUGCAUGUGUCUUUUGUUCUUCUGGGACCAGCCUGUUUGAUGCAGGAGGUUUGGACAGAAGGGGGACAAUGUCUCAGAGGUUCACAAGGAUUUGUCCAGCUGCUAAGUGUGGACUAGAUGGACCGGGAAUGAGGGCUGAAGCAGGGAGAAAAGAUAAGAAGCUACUACCACAAGCCAGACAAGAGAUGGUGUUGCUUUGAACCAAAGUUGGACUCCGAGGUUCUUUUCAAAGUGCUCAGAGGAAAUGCUGUGUGAGGACACAGCAAGAAGGCAGCCAUUUACAAGCCAGGCAGAGAGCCUUCACCAGAAACCCUCCCUGACAGCACCUUGAUCUCAGAUUUCCAGCCUCUCAGUGAGAGGCUGAACUGUGAGAAAAUAAAUUUCUGUUGUUUAAUCCUCUC
rnacentral:lncRNA from 1 species